AUAAGCUUCAACCCUUUUGGUCUACAAUGGAUGAAAUUGACAGCUCUCUUCGGGUUUUUGAUCCUAAACAUCCACGGCUUGGUACAUCACAUCGCCAAAUAGAUAUAGGUAAUGAUUGCUAUAUCAUCUUGUCUAUAGAUCCGGAUGACCCAAAAGCCCUGCCAGAGUGCCACUUUAUUGGUUCAGAUUCAGAGGUGAACAUACUGCAUGGAAUGUGGAGGAGAAAUUGCCAAAGAUGGUAUAUAAGUUUAUUCAUAAGUCCAUUCUGGUUUCUGAGUAUCAUCUUUUUCAUGUCUGUUAUGCAUAUUUUAAUAAAAUUGAUGAUACUUGAAGUGUAUGAAUUAGUUCCAUCAACCGGAGUUGAACUUUUGAAUAGGAUUGAAGACAAACCAUUUGCUGAAAAUCUUGUCAAUUUAUUGAAAAUUCAAUUACCUGGUCCUCCUGAUGAACAGAAGAGUGAACAGCAGUCUGAAUGUGGAAUUUGUUAUGCACCAUAUCUCCCAAUUGAUCUCUAACUUCUAACAGCUUCAAUGGGUCAAUCCCAAAUUCUAUAGGCAACUUGUCUAAGCUUUCAUGGUUAUGUUUGAGCAACAAUAAACUUACUGGUACUAUCCCAGUCUCUGAUCUAAUCACAUGCAACCUGGUUUGGACCAGUUAUUUAGUGUCAAAAACUUCCAUUUAGCCAAGAAUCAACUCUCUGGCACCAUCCCUCCAAAACUCUUCAAUCCUUACAUGAUGCUAAAACAUGUGAUUCUUGAUCACAAUGAGCUGAGUGUUGAAAUACCUCAAACUCUAGGACUUGUGCAAACUUUAAAUGUUGUGUGAGGAUCUCCACCUUAGCUGCAAAUGAUACACUUGUGUAGGCUUUCCUCAGCUUUUGACAUUAUUAUUGUCCACUGAAUGUUGUGU